rnacentral:lncRNA from 13 species
UGAAAAACUCUUCUAAUGGAAUCCAGCUUGAAAGCUACUCAAGAGCAGCUAACUGAGCAAAUAGCAGAAACAGUUUGCCAAGAACAGAACAGUAGAAAACCCCAGGCAGAGCUGAAGACAGUGACAGAAGGGAUUAUUGCUUCUGAAGAAGAAAAAAAUGAUUACAAGUUUCCUGAGGCCUCCCAGUCAAGAUUCCUGUUAAACUGUCAAACUAAUCUCCUAUUUUUUACCGUCUGUUACAACUUCAUUGCAGGAAGUGUGAAAGUGAAUGGAAAUUGUGUUGGUGCAAAAAAAGCCAUCAUUCAGAGAAGCUUUCGAAGCUAACUUGCUAAAGCCUUCCCAAAUUCUGGUCUCUACAACUAUUUCAUCACUUUAAAUUCUUUAAUCACUGAGAUCACUCUGUACCCUCUCUCACCAACCCUGGCCAACACUUUGCUACUGGUGUGUACCCUAUUACUUUUGAUGUUUAACUUGGAACUGAGCACAUAUAUUUACUUAUAGUUUCAU